UACAGGGGGUGCAAGCGUUGCUCGGAAUACUGGGCGUAAAGCGUGCGCAGGCGGUGAUGUAAGACAGAUGUGAAAUCCCCGGGCUCAACCUGGGAACUGCAUUUGUGACUGCAUCGCUGGAGUGCGGCAGAGGGGGAUGGAAUUCCGCGUGUAGCAGUGAAAUGCGUAGAUAUGCGGAGGAACACCGAUGGCGAAGGCAAUCCCCUGGGCCUGCACUGACGCUCAUGCACGAAAGCGUGGGGAGCAAACAGG
rnacentral:rRNA from 1 species